GACAUAGGUGGCGAACGUUAUCCGGAUUUAUUGGGCGUAAAGAGCUCGUAGGCGGUGUGUCGCGUCGGCCGUGAAAACCUGCAGCUUAACUGUGGGCUUGCGGUCGAUACGGGCAUCACUGGAGUUCGGCAGGGGAGACUGGAAUUCCUGGUGUAGCGGUGAAAUGCGCAGAUAUCAGGAGGAACACCGGUGGCGAAGGCGGGUCUCUGGGCCGAUACUGACGCUGAGGAGCGAAAGCGUGGGGAGCGAACAGG
rnacentral:rRNA from 1 species